GCCAGGGUCGCAUAAUCCGGUAUUGCGCAAGCCUGGAAAGCUUGUCCCUUUGGGAUUCUGGGUUCAAAUCCCAGCUCUGGCG
rnacentral:tRNA from 1 species